UCGGUGAAGAUACAUCUCGAACAACGAAUGCAUCAAUCUGAAUCUUCUCGUGGGAUUGAAGGCAAAGUUCUCCUCUGGGAGCCCUUCAGUCUUCAUCUGGUAAUGAGCAUGAACUGGGAGACAUUGCCACAAAAAGAACAACAAAUUUGGUGGAUUUAAAUGGACUCUCACAGGUCUAGAUUCUUCGAACAGGAUGGAAUUCUGACACGUUAGGAUGCUCCCCACAUGCUUGAAGUGUUCUCACAGCAAGAAGCAUCCUGGUCAGCACCACUCAUCCCCAACUGUUCUAGUCUCUCCUUCCCCAACCUCUGCAACGUUUAUUCCACGUUUCUGCACGUAUCAGAUGCCUCAGUUUGACUGUGCUUCUGCCGCGUGACUGUUCUUGGGAUGUAGGACACGCCUCAUGUGCUAAGAAUGCGUCCAAUGCGUUUCCCCCAUCGAGGACACUACAGGCUCCUGGGGGGCUUGGCUGUGCUGACUCUCCCUGUUCACCGUCACUGCCCAGUCCCAGUCGACGCUGGUCAAGAAGCCAGGAAUUCCCAAGCUUUCCCAGGCAAGUGUGGAGAAACACCAGGACGCCUUUUUCUUCUGCCCCAUCCAUCUGCAGCCAAGUGUGCAUCGGUCAAAGGCAAACUCUGAAUCGGGCUUUGUGCAAGCCUCUGGAAAGAUCCCCAAGAUCGUGUGACGGGGGGGGAAGGGGACAGUGGUGGCGGUGGUGGCGACAUCUGCAGAGCCAGCCCCAUCCCUAUCUGCCGCAGGAUGCGUGUGGGCAUGCUUUGUGAGAACAAUCCACGCCGGGCAGAAUGGGGCUUUUGACAUCAGCGGAGGCCUGGGCUGCCUGACAAUGAGGUCCGUUGGUCAAAGGGAGACUGUUUAAUGAACUGCGCACCAGCGGCCGUCUGCACUGAGGAUCUUUGGAGCGAGUCUUGGCUGUAACUGGCCACAUGUGCGAAAGUGCCUUGCCUUGCACGGAAAGCAACGGCAACAACAAAUUCAUAUUUCAAAAUCGGGAACUUUGGGAUGCUUUUUGUCGGGUGGGAUGAAAAGCUGGAUACGAGCUCGAUCCUAAGACUUGCUUAGCAAGGGAAGCCUGAGAAAGUAGCUUGCUUUGGGCUCUGAGAUCAAUAAUGAGAGUGGCUUUUUCCUUAACGCUGGGGAGCAAUGUCCUGUCAAGGAUAUGCGAACACUUGGUGAACAUGAAAUUCGUGAAAGCCCUGAAUCAUCAAGACAGGAAGGCAGGCGAUCACGAUUGUCCCCACAUGGCAGGGGAAACACUGAGGCUCAGGGAACAGUGACUCACGACCAAGGUCGAGUGGCAGGUGGGAGGUGGGGCUGGCUGACAUCUCAUUGUGUCCUCCAGCCUCUGGCACUGAGGAAGGCCAUGCGAGGCUCGCACCGACUUUUCCUGGCAGGCUCGCUCUUCCCAGCCGGAAUGCAGGUGGCAAUGUUGUGAUUCCUGGCGUAACCUUCAACGCUUCAAUGAUAAUCUCUGUCGGCGCCAGACACCCGCUGAGUGUCACAGCGUAACUCCCGGGCUUAGGCGAUGCAUGCCGAGGUUUUCGUAGCGGCUUCUCAUUUAUUAGUUGUGUUGGAAAGAAAUCUCUAAUACCUAACUGGGUACCUCUGGAUUUUAACAGCUGUGGUUUAUAAGAGAUAUGGGAGGGGGAUUGUUUUCAAAGUGCCUUUCAGAAAGUAUCACCUUAGAUGGGAGUUUCCACCCUGUUCUAGUAGAAUGACUCGCAACAGUCCUAUGCUCAGGAAACCUAGCCUGCAAGAAAAAUCAGAUAUCUUCUUACAGCUCAGUUUAGCAAGUACAUCACUCUGCCUUCAGCUCCCCUUUAUUGGCAAUAAACUUAAUGGAAGGCUUUGAUGUCAAAUGCUGAGUAUUUUGGAAGAUGUCCCUUCCACACAGAUGAGACUGCUUGGCCAGGGGCUGGAGAGUCACAAUUGGAUUGGACUCAAAGGUCCCUCUUAGUCUGAGAUGUUGUGACUCUGGAGCUAAUUAGUCUCAACUCCUAAAAUGAAAUGAUCCUAACUACCGUCUGUUGAGCACUUUCUGGGUCGGCUCUGUGCUGAGACCUUAAAAUCAUUCUCUGAAGUCUAACGAAACCCCUGCCAACAUUAUCCCUAUUUUACAAGUGAAGAAUAGGGGGUUAGAGAAGUUAAAAGCUUGUCUGAUGGCACAGAUUUAAGGUUUUGUAAGUGACCCUCCCCUGGAAAUUGAUUCCGGAGGAGUCUAAAUCCAUACUCGAAACCCACAACUCCACCAGAAUGCAAUGUAGACACUUGUACUUGUCUUCCUCACAGAUUAGCCCGUCAUCUCCAGCCUUGGGGUGGCUAGUACUCAUUCUUUAGUCAGAUUCAGUAUCGGAGUUGGGGAGGAAGACCUCACACAGGGGCUAGCAAUGUCCCAGCCCAUGAAGUCUCUUCUGGGCUUACCAGACAGCUGGGGGAUUCCGGUCUUCCUGCCAAUUAGAGAUCAACUAAUUGUCAAAAGUACAAUUGCCCUUGAAGUGAUAACACAUGAACUGUCACCCAUUAACACUAGUGUGGGAAGUUGUGUAGUCUAGCAAACGGCCAGAAGGAAGAAACUCAGGGUCCACAGGUCCAGAUUAAUGACAGUGUGAGCACUAGAUUAGGGGGGCUCUGAGGAUGCCUUUCUCAAUGCCUUGCUUGUAACCUCUGUUCAAAAAAGAUUUGCUGACCUCAAUUCACAGUCCUGUUUUCUACUGGGCUGAAAGCACAAUGCUUACCAGAAAGAACAUUCCAAAUUCUGACCUGUGUGUAGGGAGACCAUAUAUCAUAAUAAAACUACAAUUUAUGCUUAGAGUAUGGUCUGAGAAGUCAGGUUUCAUAUGUAUAUAUUUUUUCCCAGAAAAAGGAAAUAUCUGUAUCUAUAUUAUAUAUAGAGAUCUAUAUCUAUUUCUCUUUCUCUAUCUCCUUUUUGUGGAAAAACUGCCCCUACAAUUCAAUCCCAAGAACACCCUAUUUCUCAACCGGUCUGUGGCUCCUUGUAUUACAAAGUAAUGCCUCCUGUCCUGUCAGUGGGUACAGGCAGAACACAGUCGACACUGACUACUUUUAGCAAUAAACAUUUUGUGACGUCAAAAGUCACCUUUCUUCCACCAGAGGCCCAGAUGUUUUAUCUGAAUAAUCUACCCAUUCUUCUCCUAAAGGAGAUGUUAGCAACAGCAAACCAGCCUACAGCCAUGUGACGGGUGCACAUGCCAUCU